GAUGAACGCUGGCGGCGUGCCUAAUACAUGCAAGUCGAGCGAACAGACGAAGAGCUUGCUCCUCUGACGUUAGCGGCGGACGGGUGAGUAACACGUGGAUAACCUACCUAUAAGACUGGGAUAACUUCGGGAAACCGGAGCUAAUACCGGAUAAUAUAUUGAACCGCAUGGUUCAAUAGUGAAAGACGGUUUUGCUGUCACUUAUAGAUGGAUCCGCGCCGCAUUAGCUAGUUGGUAAGGUAACGGCUUACCAAGGCAACGAUGCGUAGCCGACCUGAGAGGGUGUACGGCCCCAGUGGAACUGAGAGACGGUCCAGAGUCCUACGGGAGGCAGCAGUAGGGAAUCUUCCGAAAAGGGCGAAAGCCUGACGGAGCAACGCCGCGUGAGUGAUGAAGGUCUUCGUAUCGUAAAACUCUGUUAUUAGGGAAGAACAAAUGUGUAAGUAACUAUGCACGUCUUGACGGUACCUAAUCAGAAAGCCACGGCUAACUACGUG
rnacentral:rRNA from 1 species